GACGAACGCUGGCGGCGUGCUUAACACAUGCAAGUCGAACGGAAAGGCCCUGCUUGCAGGGUACUCGAGUGGCGAACGGGUGAGUAACACGUGGGUGAUCUGCCCUGCACUUCGGGAUAAGCUUGGGAAACUGGGUCUAAUACCGGAUAGGAGCCAUCUUUAGUGUGGUGGUUGGAAAGUUUUUUCGGUGUAGGAUGAGCUCGCGGCCUAUCAGCUUGUUGGUGGGGUAAUGGCCUACCAAGGCGGCGACGGGUAGCCGGCCUGAGAGGGUGUACGGCCACAUUGGGACUGAGAUACGGCCAAGACUCCUACGGGGGGAAGCAGUGGGAAUAUUGCACAAUGGGCGCAAGCCUGAUGCAGCGACGCCGCGUGGGGGAUGAAGGCCUUCGGGUUGUAAACUCCUUUCGCUAGGGACGAAGCUUUUUUGUGACGGUACCUAGAUAAGAAGCACCGGCUAACUACGUG
rnacentral:rRNA from 1 species